rnacentral:rRNA from 1 species
GCUUUACACAUGCAAGUCGAGCGGCAGCGCGGGGCAACCUGGCGGCGAGCGGCGAACGGGUGAGUAAUAGAUAGGAACGUAUCCGGGAGUGGGGGAUAACUAGCCGAAAGGUUAGCUAAUACCGCAUAUUCUCUUUGGAGGAAAGCGGGGGACUCCUAAACCGAAGGCAGCGGGGAAGUGUCUUGGGUUUAGGGGCCUCGCGCUCGCGGAGUGGCCUAUCUCCGAUUAGCUAGUUGGUGAGGUAAAGGCUCACCAAGGUGACGAUCGGUAGCUGGUCUGAGAGGAUGAUCAGCCACACUGGGACUGAGACACGGCCCAGACUCCUACGGGAGGCAGCAGUGGGGAAUUUUGGACAAUGGGGGCAACCCUGAUCCAGCCAUGCCGCGUGCGGGAAGAAGGCCUUCGGGUUGUAAACCGCUUUUAUUCGGGAAGAAGGAGUGCGGGCGAAUACCUCGCAUGACGGACGGUACUGGAUGAAUAAGCACCGGCUAACUACGUGCCAGCAGCCGCGGUAAUACGUAGGGUGCGAGCGUUAAUCGGAAUUACUGGGCGUAAAGCGUGCGCAGGCGGUUCGAGAAGUCAGCUGUGAAAGCCCCGGGCUUAACCUGGGAAUGGCGGUUGAAACUCUCGGACUAGAAUCUGGCAGAGGGGGGUGGAAUUCCACGUGUAGCAGUGAAAUGCGUAGAGAUGUGGAGGAACACCGAUGGCGAAGGCAGCCCCCUGGGCUGAGAUUGACGCUC